UGCCUCGGGUUCUACCGAGCCUUUGGUUUAGGGUCAGUGGUUAAAUCUAGUACCAGCCACAGUUUUGGCAACGGGUGCAUCCUCGACAAAUUAACGACAAAGUAUACGGAUUUGGGACUUUGAUUCGAGACGAGU